rnacentral:rRNA from 1 species
GACGAACCGUGCGAACGUUGUUCGGAUUCACUGGGCUUAAAGGGCGUGUAGGCGGUCUGCCAAGUCAGGGGUGAAAUCUUUCGGCUCAACCGGAAAACUGCCUUUGAUACUGGUAGGCUCGAGGGAGGUAGGGGUUGCGGGAACUACCAGUGGAGCGGUGAAAUGCGUUGAUAUUGGUAGGAACGCCGGUGGCGAAAGCGCGCAACUGGAUCUCUUCUGACGCUGAGGCACGAAGGUCAGGGGAGCAAACGGG